UACGUAGGGUGCGAGCGUUAAUCGGAAUUACUGGGCGUAAAGCGUGCGCAGGCGGUUCGUUGUGUCGGUGGUGAAAGCCCCGGGCUUAACCUGGGAAUGGCCAUGGAAACUGGCGAACUGGAGUGUGGCAGAGGGGGGGUGGAAUUCCGCGUGUAGCAGUGAAAUGCGUAGAGAUGCGGAGGAACACCGAUGGCGAAGGCAGCCCCCCUGGGUCGACACUGACGCUCAGGCACGAAAGCGUGGGGAGCAAACAGG
rnacentral:rRNA from 1 species